rnacentral:misc_RNA from 1 species
GGAGAAUUGGUUAUUGAAAUCAGUUUCUUCGUCUUUGUUGUUAUAUAAGAAACACUUAUUCGAAGAACAAGAGAAAUAGAUAAAAAGAUGCAAUGCAUAAGUAGAUAAUAUCAUCAAGUAGAAAAAUUCAACCUGAUGUUUAUUUUAAGUUCUAACAUAUUUUUCCUAUUCAUGUACAUACAAGUUUCAGAUGUUAUUUUGUCACACCUACCGAGGAUCUAACAUUGUGAUUGUGAACUCAUUGUUUGAACUUCUUGUCUGCGACACUGAUUUUGCUUCAUCGAAUAUGUUUCGUUCUGUGAAAAAUCCUGGUUCUUUUGCUUUUGGAAGUAGACUCUCAUUAGCCAACAUAUGAACCACAGAAGACAUGCUUGGUCUAUCAUCUGGAUGUUGUUGCACGCAUAAUAACCCCACGUGAAUUAACCUCAAAACUUGAGAUAUAUGCAAAGAAUCGGCUAGUUGCUCAUCAAUUAGUUCCAAGGACAUAUCUUCUUUGUAAAGAUUCCAUGCGUGACCGAGAAGGUUAAGGUUGUGAUCUUGAUGGACA